UCCGCCUCCCUGAGGGCCACUGGCUGGGUCCUGCUGCAUGUCCUGAUACUACUUGGCCAAGCUCCUGACCUCUUCUUGGGUUUAGCUUGCACUUUCUUCUCAGGUCUCUCUCCCCUGAGGUAGAAAAAGCCCACGGGUAUUCCUUCUUUGCACACUCCACAUCCUGACGAUUUCAGGAUUCUGGGUCCCCUUCAGUUUAAAUCUAUGGAGCGUCUGCCAGUUAUCAGGCUCUGUUCCAGGUUUCACAAGACUCAAGCAAAGCAAGAGGAAAAACUUGGCACUUUGUCAUUAGUUGCAAGGAGAUCACGGAGAGACUAAAUUACUGAGAAUGCAGAGUCCAGAAGCUUCCAAAUGUGAGGUGGCCUAUCCAGCUCCCUGAGCGUCAUCCCCGUCAGGGACUCAGAGUUGCUCCAUUUUGCCCUGUGCCCUCUCAUCACCGGGCUCAUGCUCUACCCUGCUUCCCUCCCACGGUAGUUAUUGCCCAAAUCCAGAUAGGCAUCCGCUGUGGCAGGAUAGAGAUCUUUAUGGAGGUAAACCUGUGCCUGUGGAGGAAAUGACAGCUGGAAACACUUGAAACUUUUUCCUGAACCCGGUACCUCUCCCUGGCUAACUUUAGUCAUGAUGUAUCAGUUUUCUGUCUACCUGACCUCUGCUCUUGAGAAGGGAGAGAAGGAGGAGGACACUAAUGACUCUUUUCUGAUGUUGAGAGACGAUUGGGAUUAUUAUUGUUUAGUCCUUGGGGAAGCCAGACAACCAUCAGCCUGACUCUAAACAUACGUAGUUCAGGACAGUUGCUGUCCUCAGGGCUCAUGGAAGCUCUACUCCUCCCCCCUCUGCCCGCCUCUGCCUAUCCUGCUGUAACCACUGUAGAUAGGACUUGGGGGAGGGAGGGUGCCCGGUUCCUUGGUGUAUUCUCUAGGACUCAUUUUCAUGCCUGGAGCAGAAUUUACACUCCCCUCCCAUCCCAGAUUUAUCUCCUGUCCCAGGCUCCUCCACGGGGUGUGGAGGCCAAAAGUCCUCUAAAACCAACUAGGAAGUGAUGAUGGCAGGACUUCUUAAUGUAUGGCAUGUAAUGAAAGACCUCUAAAGCUCCAUUCUUUGAACAACAUGCAAAACUCACUUCAACCAAGCCUAACUCUCAGGUGCAACCCACUUGGAAAAGACCAGUGUACCAUUUUGCUGAGGAUUUCAAAAAUGCAGUAUGAUUUAGAAAAAAAUCAAAAUGUGUGAAUCAAAAGGGGCUAUGGGUCAGGGUUCCUGCCAGCUGCGUCCUUUUUCUUUCUCACAAUGCUGAAAUACGAUAGUAAUAAUAAUAAUUAACAUUUAAAUGGUAUUGUAGAGUUCCAGAGUGUUUUCAUUUAUCAUCAUACAAUAACCUUGUAUGCUUGGAAUUCUGACUCCUGUUUUACAGACAAGGAAUCAGAGUACUUACAUGAUUUCCUUAAGGCUAUGGAACUGGUAAGCAACAGAGGUGGCAUUUGAUCAAAGUCUAGUGACUGUUGCAAGGAGGGCCGAAGAUCCUGGUGUCCAACUAUCACAGAAAGAGUUAGGUAACACUUUCUGAAGAAUAUCCAGGGUGGGGAAUACAAAGUUUCUAAUGAAAUCACAAAAGCAUUCCUAACUCAUAGGUUCAGGAUAAGUGGCCUUGGUGUGGGACCCCCAAAAAAUGAGAUAUAAGAAACUAAAUCUGGGGCGCCUGGGUGGCUCAGUCGUUAAGCGUCUGCCUUCGGCUCAGGGCAUGAUCCCAGGGUCCUGGAGUCAAGCCCUGCAUCAGGCUUCUCCGCUGGGAGCCUGCU